GAUGAACGCUGGCGGCGUGCCUAAUACAUGCAAGUCGAGCGAACAGACGAGGAGCUUGCUCUUCUGACGUUAGCGGCGGACGGGUGAGUAACACGUGGAUAACCUACCUAUAAGACUGGGACAACUUCGGGAAACCGGAGCUAAUACCGGAUAAUAUAUUGAACCGCAUGGUUCAAUAGUGAAAGACGGUCUUGCUGUCACUUAUAGAUGGAUCCGCGCUGCAUUAGCUAGUUGGUAAGGUAACGGCUUACCAAGGCAACGAUGCGUAGCCGACCUGAGAGGGUGAUCGGCCACACUGGAACUGAGACACGGUCCAGACUCCUACGGGAGGCAGCAGUAGGGAAUCUUCCGCAAUGGGCGAAAGCCUGACGGAGCAACGCCGCGUGAGUGAUGAAGGUCUUCGGAUCGUAAAACUCUGUUAUUAGGGAAGAACAAAUGUGUAAGUAACUAUGCACGUCUUGACGGUACCUAAUCAGAAAGCCACGGCUAACUACGUG
rnacentral:rRNA from 1 species